GUUUCUAAAGAAGUAAUAGCAAUUCUUUUGCACAACUGCAUUGGUAGGUAUUAUGAAGGGGGGAUUUCAUAAGUAUACAUGUGGGAAGAUAAUGAAGACUUUGUGGCUUGCUACCUAAUAACGAAAGAUGGCUCAAAGUCAGGGCAUGGCCGAAGAGGUUAUUUGCAAGAAGGUGCAUGGGAUGCUAUUCAUGUUAUUGAAUACAUAUGGACAAAACUAGACAAAACUCGGGUUCAACUUCCGAAUUUGAAGUGGUG